GGGGGGUGGAGGAGUGGUCAGCUUCUGUAGCUUUUGUGAAAUAUGCAUAUGAAUUCCAUCAUACUUUUCAUGUGGUUUCGUCUUUUGAUUGGUAUGGACGUUUACGAAAUAAACUGAAACUCUAACACUGCGAAAGUUAAUUUCUCUGUAGUGCUCAAUUAUUGUGGUGAGGUGUGCAGUUUGCUUGUCCUGAAAUGAGCAGUGCCGUCUAAUCCAGUACUGUAAGAUUUUUGUAAACAAAUUUUUACGAUCAGCGGUCUCUUGAUUUUGUUACUAGAUUCGGUAUAUUUUGAUGUUCAAAACUUCAAAUUGAUGUUUAAUUUGGUCUAAACUUUUGGUUAUCCCACCACGAGAAAAAGAAAUAAAGUGAGAUACUUUCCUUUUAUUCUAGAUGAGGAUAUACACUAGCAUGUGAAGGAAUCAUUCAAAGAGAAGAACAACAUGGUAUAAUUACUCAGCGUUUUUGCUCAUACCAAUUGCAGGUGUUUGAG
rnacentral:lncRNA from 1 species